CCGCAGUAUUUUAACUGUGCAAAGGUAGCAUAAUCAUUAGUUUUUUAAAUGAAAGCUAGAAUGAAUGGUUUGAUAAAAAAAAAGCUUUCUUAAAAUUAUUGUAUAAUUUUAUUUUUAAGUUAAAAAGCUUAAAUAGAAUAAAUAGACGAGAAGACCCUAUAGAGCUUAAAAUAUUAAAAAUUAAUUAAUUAAAUUUUAAAUUAUGAUUAAUUUUAAAGUAUUUUUUAUUGGGGUGAUAUAAAAAUUUAAAUAACUUUUUAAUUUAAAUCCAUUAAUUAAUGAGUAAUUGAUCCUAUUAUUUAGAUUAUAAGAAAAAGUUACCUUAGGGAUAACAGCGUAAUUUUUUUUUGGAGUUCUUAUUUAAAGAAAAGAUUGCGACCUCGAUGUUGGAUUAAAAUUUAAUUUUGGUGUAGAAGCUAAAUAUUUAGGUCUGUUCGACCUUUAAAAUUUUACAUGAUCUGAGUUUAAACCGGUGUAAGCCAGGUUGGUUUCUAUCUUUUAUAAAUUAAAAUAUUUUAGUACGAAAGGACCAAAUAUUUAAAUAAUAUUUUUAAUUAGGAAUAAAUUU
rnacentral:rRNA from 1 species